UAAAAAGGCAAGGGUCUUUUAAAAUGCUUGAUGUCUGUGAGGUUGACAGGAGAAAUAUUAAAUAAAUAAAAAUACACACACUGUUUAAGGAUUCUGUGUUUUCUUUCUCAUAGGAACCACUCGUUUUGACUAUUAUUUUAUCACUCUUUGUGAAACUUCACAAUGUUCGGGAGGACAUUGUGAAUGAUAUUACAGCUGAACACAUUUCUAUUUGGCCAUCUUCCAUUCCCAACCUCCAGUCUGUGGACUUUGAAGCUGUGGCAAUCACAGUGAAAGAGCUAGUUCGAUAUACACUCAGUAUAAAUCCAAAUAACCAUUCCUGGUUAAUUAUCCAGGCAGAUAUUUACUUUGCAACGAAUCAGUAUUCAGCAGCUCUUCACUAUUACCUCCAGGCAGGAGCUGUGUGUUCUGACUUCUUUAACAAGGCUGUGCCCCCUGAUGUUUAUACAGACCAGGUAAUAAAACGAAUGAUAAAAUGUUGUUCUUUGCUGAAUUGCCACACACAGGUGGCCAUUUUAUGUCAGUUCCUCAGAGAAAUUGACUACAAAACAGCGUUUAAAUCUCUGCAAGAACAA
rnacentral:sRNA from 1 species